rnacentral:tRNA from 1 species
AUGGGAUGGAACAUUUUGAUGAGUCUUUUGUUGAAGGGAGUGGGUUAAUUUCACGAGAGGAGAGUGGAGGUAUCACUUAUAAUUUUUGAAAGCACUGUUUUGAUAUUUUCUUUGUUGAUAAUUUGAUAGGGGGUGAAUUGUUCACCUGCCUCUGUUAGUCUAGUGUCUUCUGUAUUGUUCUCUGUGGAUUGUACUGUAAACAGUAGAUUGUACUGUAAAUAUUGUAAACAAACAUUUUUGAUAAUAUAAAAAAUAAAAAAAAUAAAAAAAAUCACGUUCGCUUAACACGCGAAAGGUCCUCGGUUCGAAACCGGGCGGAAACAGAGCUCUUUGACAAGUGCAGUAGGUACUGUACUUUCAACAAAGAAUUGUUAUUUUCAUGAAUUCUGUAUUUUGGAAAUUCGAAUACGUGCCAUGAAUAUCUGUAAAAUUUGGUUUACUCCUUGCAGCUAAAUGUAGCAGCAGUUUCUGUAGUGUAGUGGUUAUCACGUUCGCUUUACACGUGAAAGGUCCUCAGUUUGAAACCGGGAGGAAACAGUGCUCUUUGACAUGUGCAGUAGGUACUGUACUAUUAACAGAGAAUAGUUAUUUUCAUAAAUGCCUAAUUUUGGAAAUUUGAACAUGUGCCAUGAAAAUCUGUAAAAUUCGGUUUACUCCUUGCAGAUAAUUGUUGAAGCAUUUUCUGUAGUGUAGCGGUUAUCACGUUCGCUUAACACGCGAAAGGUCCUCGGUUCGAAACCGGGCGGAAACAGAGCUCUUUGACACGUGCAGUAGGUACUGUACUUUCAACAAAGAAUUGUUAUUUUCAUGAAUUCUGUAUUUUGGAAAUUCGAAUAAGUGCCAUGAAUAUCUGUAAAAUUCGGUUUACUCCUUGCAGAUAGUUGUUGAAGCAGUUUCUGUAGUGUAGUGGUUAUCACGUUCGCUUAACACGCGAAAGGUCCUCGGUUCCAAACCGGGCGGAAACAGAGCUCUUUGACACGUGCAGUAGGUACUGUACUUUCAACAAAGAAUUGUUAUUUUCAUAAAUUCUGUAUUUUGGAAAUUCGAAUACGUGCCCUGAAUAUCUGUAAAAUUCGGUUUACUUCUUGCAGGAAAAUCAAGCAGCAGUUUCUGUAGUGUAGUGGUUAUCACGUUCGCUUUACAUGCGAAAGGUACUCGGUUCGAAACCGGGCGGAAACAGUGCUCUUUGACACGUGCAGUAG